rnacentral:rRNA from 1 species
AACCACUUCGGUGGGGAUUAGUGGCGAACGGGUGAGUAACACGUGGGCAAUCUGCCCUGCACUCUGGGACAAGCCCUGGAAACGGGGUCUAAUACCGGAUACUGAACCUUGCAGGCAUCUGUGAGGGUCGAAAGCUCCGGCGGUGCAGGAUGAGCCCGCGGCCUAUCAGCUAGUUGGUGAGGUAAUGGCUCACCAAGGCGACGACGGGUAGCCGGCCUGAGAGGGCGACCGGCCACACUGGGACUGAGACACGGCCCAGACUCCUACGGGAGGCAGCAGUGGGGAAUAUUGCACAAUGGGCGAAAGCCUGAUGCAGCGACGCCGCGUGAGGGAUGACGGCCUUCGGGUUGUAAACCUCUUUCAGCAGGGAAGAAGCGAAAGUGACGGUACCUGCAGAAGAAGCGCCGGCUAACUACGUGCCAGCAGCCGCGGUAAUACGUAGGGCGCAAGCGUUGUCCGGAAUUAUUGGGCGUAAAGAGCUCGUAGGCGGCUUGUCGCGUCGGUUGUGAAAGCCCGGGGCUUAACCCCGGGUCUGCAGUCGAUACGGGCAGGCUAGAGUUCGGUAGGGGAGAUCGGAAUUCCUGGUGUAGCGGUGAAAUGCGCAGAUAUCAGGAGGAACACCGGUGGCGAAGGCGGAUCUCUGGGCCGAUACUGACGCUGAGGAGCGAAAGCGUGGGGAGCGAACAGGAUUAGAUACCCUGGUAGUCCACGCCGUAAACGGUGGGCAC